rnacentral:sRNA from 1 species
GCUGUCCUUGUGAUAGUGAGUGGGUUCUUGCAAGAUCUGGUUGUUUAAAAGUGUAUGCCCCCACUGCCUUCCCCUCUCAUUCUUGCCAUAUGAAAUGCACAUUCCCUCUUCGCCUUCCACCACGAGCAGAAGCUUCCUGUGGCCUCCCCUGAAGCAGAUGCUGGCAUUGUGCUUCUUGUACAGCCUGCAGAGUCAUGAGCCAAUUAAACCUCUUUCCUUAUAAAUUACCCAGUCUUGGGUAUUUCUAAUAGCAAUGCAAGAACAGCCUAACACACUAGGUCUAGAUAUGACAAAUUCCUUUAGCGUUUGCUUGUCAGGAAAGACUUUAUUUCUUCUUUGUUUGUGAAGCUUGGUAUUUGGUGAUUACAUAGUCAUAAAUAACAUGGUUAAGCAUUUGUAACCUUCAUAUCUCUGUGAAUAACUGCGAAGAAUUGCCUUCUUAUGCCCUUAGGCUUGGCCAGUUUGUCAUAUCUUGUUGGCAUUCUUUUAUUUUUUGGUAACUAUACAAAUCUCACUACAUUGUUUGUAUUAUUUAAAUAGUUAAUCCAUUUAGAAUUUCUAUAAAUUAAAUGUGUUAGUUAAUAUCUAGAGGCACAUGUGAAAUAAAUAAUUUUUAAAAUGUGUUAGUAACUAUAUAGGAAAAUAAAUGGAUUUUUAUUUACAUAUCAUAACAUUUUAACAAGAAAAAUGUUCCAAUUAUUACUCUAACAAGAACAAAAAACCAAUUUUUCUAUUUUGUUCCAUAUUUUGAAAGAUUUGUUUUCCUUUUUAGAUGCAGACCAACAACGAAGAGAGAAACUCAAAAAGGAAUUAGCACGAUGUGAAAAAGAGUUCAAAUUAACUAAAACUGCAAUACGAGCCAAUUCUAAAAAUAAUUCCAAGUCACUUUUUAACACCUUACAAAAGCCCUCAGGCGAACCGAAAAUUGAGGAUGACGUGUUAAAAGAAGAAAUGAAUGGAUUUUCAUCCUUUGCAAGGUCACUAGUACCCUCUUCAGAGAGACUACACCUAAGUCUACAUAAAUCCGAUAAAGUCAUCACAAAUGGUCCUGAGAAGAACUCCAGUUCCUCCCCGUCCAGCAUGGAUUAUGCAGCCUCCGGGCCCCGGAAACCGGGCUCUGGAACCCUGUAUGGCAGAAGGCCCAGAAGCACAUUCCCAAAUUCCCACCGGUUUCAGUUAGUCAUUUCGAAAGCACCCAGUGGGGAUCUUUUGGAUAAACAUUCUGAACUCUUUUCUAACAAACAAUUGCCAUUCACUCCUCGCACUUUAAAAACAGAAGCAAAAUCUUUCCUGUCACAGUAUCGCUAUUAUACACCUGCCAAAAGAAAAAAGGAUUUUACAGAUCAACGGAUAGAAGCUGAAACCCAGACUGAAUUAAGCUUUAAAUCUGAGUUGGGGACAGCUGAGACUAAAAACAUGACAGAUUCAGAAAUGAACAUAAAGCAGGCAUCUAAUUGUGUGGCAUAUGAUGCCAAAGAAAAAAUAGCUCCUUUACCUUUAGAAGGGCAUGACUCAACAUGGGAUGAGAUUAAGGAUGAUGCUCUUCAGCAUUCCUCACCAAGGGCAGUGUGUCAGUAUUCCCUGAAGCCCCCUUCAACUAGUAAAAUCUAUUCUGAUGAAGAAGAACUGUUGUAUCUGAGUUUCAUUGAAGAUGUAACAGAUGAAAUUUUGAAACUUGGUUUAUUUUCAAACAGGUUUUUAGAACGACUGUUCGAGCGACAUAUAAAACAAAAUAAACACUUGGAGGAGGAAAAAAUGCGCCACCUGCUGCAUGUCCUGAAACUAGACUUAGGCUGCACAUCGGAGGAAAACUUGGUAAAGCAAAAUGAUGUUGAUAUGUUGAAUGUAUUUGAUUUUGAAAAGGCUGGGAAUUCAGAACCAAAUGAAUUAAAAAACGAAAGUGGAGUAACAAUUCAGCAGGAACGUCAACAAUACCAAAAGUCUUUGGAUGUGUUAUUGUCAGCACCAGAGGAUGAGAACGAGAUAUUCUCUUCACCAACUGAAUUUUUCAUGCCUAUUUAUAAAUCAAAGCAUUCAGAAGGGGUUAUAAUUCAACAGGUGAAUGAUGAGACGAAUCUUGAACCUUCAACUUUGGAUGAAAAUAAUCCAAGUAUUUCAGACAGUUUAACAGAUCAGGAAACUUCUGUGAAUGUCAUUGAAGGUGAUAGUGACUCUGAGAAGGUUGAGAUUUCAAAUGGAUUAUGCGGUCUUAACACAUCACUCUCCCAAUCUGUUCAGUUCUCCAGUGUCAAAGGCGACAAUAAUCAUGACAUGGAGUUAUCAACUCUUAAAAUCAUGGAAAUGAGCGUUGAGGACUGCCCUUUGGAUAUUUAAUCUUCAUUAAUAAAUAACUCAAAUGGCCAGUAA